rnacentral:rRNA from 1 species
GAUGAACGCUGGCGGCGUGCCUAAUACAUGCAAGUCGAGCGAACGGACGAGAGGCUUGCUUCUCUGAUGUUAGCGGCGGACGGGUGAGUAACACGUGGAUAACCUACCUAUAAGGCUGGGAUAACUUCGGGAAACCGGAGCUAAUACCGGAUAAUAUUUUGAACCGCAUGGUUCAAAAGUGAAAGACGGUCUUGCUGUCACUUAUAGAUGGAUCCGCGCUGCAUUAGCUAGUUGGUAAGGUAACGGCUUACCAAGGCAACGAUGCAUAGCCGACCUGAGAGGGUGAUCGGCCACACUGGAACUGAGACACGGUCCAGACUCCUACGGGAGGCAGCAGUAGGGAAUCUUCCGCAAUGGGCGAAAGCCUGACGGAGCAACGCCGCGUGAGUGAUGAAGGUCUUCGGAUCGUAAAACUCUGUUAUUAGGGAAGAACAUAUGUGUAAGUAACUGUGCACAUCUUGACGGUACCUAAUCAGAAAGCCACGGCUAACUACGUG